UACGGAGGGGGCUAGCGUUGCUCGGAAUCACUGGGCGUAAAGCGCACGUAGGCGGCUUUUUAAGUCAGGGGUGAAAUCCUGGAGCUCAACUCCAGAACUGCCUUUGAUACUGAGAGCUUGAGUCCGGGAGAGGUGAGUGGAACUGCGAGUGUAGAGGUGAAAUUCGUAGAUAUUCGCAAGAACACCAGUGGCGAAGGCGGCUCACUGGCCCGGUACUGACGCUGAGGUGCGAAAGCGUGGGGAGCAAACAGG
rnacentral:rRNA from 1 species